AUUGAACGCUGGCGGAAUGCUUUACACAUGCAAGUCGAACGGCAGCACGGACUUCGGUCUGGUGGCGAGUGGCGAACGGGUGAGUAAUGUAUCGGAACGUGCCCAGUCGUGGGGGAUAACGUAGUGAAAAUUACGCUAAUACCGCAUACGAUCUAUGGAUGAGAGCGGGGGAUCGCAAGACCUUGCGCGAUUGGAGCGGCGGAUAUCAGAUUAGGUAGUUGGUGGGGUAAAGGCCCACCAAGCCAACGAUCUGUAGCUGGUCUGAGAGGACGACCAGCCACACUGGAACUGAGACACGGUCCAGACUCCUACGGGAGGCAGCAGUGGGGAAUUUUGGACAAUGGGCGAAAGCCUGAUCCAGCCAUUCCGCGUGCAGGAUGAAGGCCCUCGGGUUGUAAACUGCUUUUGUACAGAACGAAAAGGUUUCUACUAAUACUAGGAGCUCAUGACGGUACUGCAAGAAUAAGCACCGGCUAACUACGUGCCAGCAGCCGCGGUAA
rnacentral:rRNA from 1 species